UAUUAGAUAACUAAAAGUUAGUGAUGGUCUCUUAAACCAAUUAAUAAUAAAUUUACGCCUAUUUCUAAUAA
rnacentral:tRNA from 1 species